rnacentral:rRNA from 1 species
UAGGGAAUCUUCGGCAAUGGACGAAAGUCUGACCGAGCAACGCCGCGUGAGUGAAGAAGGUUUUCGGAUCGUAAAACUCUGAUGUUAGAGAAGAACAAGGACGUUAGUAACUGAACGUCCCCUGACGGUAUCUAACCAGAAAGCCACGGCUAACUACGUGCCAGCAGCCGCGGUAAUACGUAGGUGGCAAGCGUUGUCCGGCUUUAUUGGGCGUAAAGCGAGCGCAGGCGGUUUCUUAAGUCUGAUGUGAAAGCCCCCGGCUCAACCGGGGAGGGUCAAUGGAAACUGGGGGACUUGAGUGCAGAAGAGGAGAGUGGAAUUCCAUGUGUAGCGGUGAAAUGCGUAGAUAUAUGGAGGAACACCAGUGGCGAAGGCGGCUCUCUGGUCUGUAACUGACGCUGAGGCUCGAAAGCGUGGGGAGCAAACAGG